rnacentral:tRNA from 1 species
CCCCUGGUGGUCUAGUGGUUAGGAUGCAGUGCUCUCACCACUGUGGCCUGGGUUCGAUUCCCAGUCAGGGAA